rnacentral:rRNA from 1 species
GUGAGGAAUUUUCCGCAAUGGGCGAAAGCCUGACGGAGCAAUGCCGCGUGAAGGAUGAAGGCCUAUGGGUUGUAAACUUCUUUUCUCAGAAAAGAAUUAUGACGGUAUCUGAGGAAUAAGCAUCGGCUAACUCUGUGCCAGCAGCCGCGGUAAGACAGAGGAUGCAAGCGUUAUCCGGAAUGAUUGGGCGUAAAGCGUCUGUAGGUUGUUUAAAAAGUAUUCUGUCAAAGAUUAGGGCUUAACCCUAGAUAGGCAGAAUAAACUUUUAAGCUAGAGUUUGGUAGAAGCAGAGGGAAUUCCCGGUGGAGCGGUGAAAUGCGUAGAUAUCGGGAGGAACACCAAAGGCGAAGGCACUCUGCUGGGCCAAUACUAACACUGAGAGACGAAAGCGAGGGGAGCAAAUGGGAUUAGAUACCCGGGUAGUCC